ACAAGUGAAAUCUCCCACCGGCACUUCAUUGCAAGUCAAGAUAUCCUUGACUUGCAAUGAAGUGCCGGUGGGAGAUUUCACUUGU
rnacentral:pre_miRNA from 1 species